CCUACGGGAGGCAGCAGUGAGGAAUAUUGGUCAAUGGGAGAGAUCCUGAACCAGCCAAGCCGCGUGAGGGAAGACGGCCCUAUGGGUUGUAAACCUCUUUUGUCGGAGAACAAAACCCGGGACGUGUCCCGGACUGCGUGUAUCCGAAGAAAAAGCAUCGGCUAACUCCGUCCCAGCAGCCGCGGUAAUACGGGGGAUGCGAGCGUUAUCCGGAUUUAUUUGGUUAAAAGGGUGCGGGGGCGGUCCGUUAAGUCAGCGGGAAAAUUGCGGGGCUAAACCCCGUCGAGCCGUUGAAACUGGCAGACUUGAGUUGGCGAGAGGUACGCGGAAUGCGCGGUGUAGCGGUGAAAUGCAUAGAUAUCGCGCAGAACUCCGAUUGCGAAGGCAGCGUACCGGCGCCAGACUGACGCUGAGGCACGAAAGCGUGGGGAUCGAACAGGAUUAGAUACCCUGGUAGUC
rnacentral:rRNA from 1 species